rnacentral:sRNA from 1 species
AGUUGAGGGACCAAGAGGAGAAGAUGGAGCGAGUCAGGAGAGGUAAUAAUAUGGCGGAAGGAUAAUAAACCACAAGGGUAUAGCAAUAUUUCCCGAUUCUCGAAAAGGCAGUAGAGAAGAUAGUUUCUAGUAAUAGAGGCGUCGUGAACGCAUAAGCGACUUUCUUGUAAUUCCCUUGUAUGCGGGGCGAUGAGGUGGCUGUAGGGCUGACGCAUACA